rnacentral:tRNA from 1 species
AUUUAAAUAAUUUAAUUAAAAUAUUGAUUUGUGGGGUCAAAAAUAUGAUAUAUAUAUUCAUUUUAAAUU